rnacentral:rRNA from 1 species
GACGAACGCUGGCGGCGUGCUUAACACAUGCAAGUCGAACGGAAAGGCCCUGCUUUUGUGGGGUGCUCGAGUGGCGAACGGGUGAGUAACACGUGAGUAACCUGCCCUUGACUUUGGGAUAACUUCAGGAAACUGGGGCUAAUACCGGAUAGGAGCUCCUGAUGCAUGGUGGGGGUUGGAAAGUUUCGGCGGUUGGGGAUGGACUCGCGGCUUAUCAGCUUGUUGGUGGGGUAGUGGCUUACCAAGGCUUUGACGGGUAGCCGGCCUGAGAGGGUGACCGGGCACAUUGGGACUGAGAUACGGCCCAGACUCCUACGGGAGGCAGCAGUGGGGAAUAUUGCACAAUGGGCGGAAGCCUGAUGCAGCAACGCCGCGUGCGGGAUGACGGCCUUCGGGUUGUAAACCGCUUUCGCCUGUGACGAAGCGUGAGUGACGGUAAUGGGUAAAGAAGCACCGGCUAACUACGUG